rnacentral:lncRNA from 1 species
CUACAACACUGAUAACUGAUACUAUGAUUUUCUAUGCUUUUAACCCCAAACUGAAGUCUUGUGGAUUCACAGACAGAAAUGCAUUUGUUUCCCUGACCAGGCUGUGGGGAGUGAGUGUUUUGUGAGGACAGCAUGAGAGAAGGGCCCGAGAGACUGGGGGCGGAGGCAGCUGCCUCAGGGCAUCUGAUUCUGUUGGUAUUCCAGCUGCUAAGAAGUGAGCCUUGCAGACCUGAAGGCUUCUCAGUAAGGCCAGUGGAAGUGACAGGAAUGGGGGAAGGCAGGUCCCAGCUCCCCCUGUGAUGGGUAAGUAUCCUGAACCCUUCUUGGUAGACCUGAGGUGAUAUCUCAGAUCACAGGACCCUCUGUUUCCCAGAGGCAAUAAGUAAUAUUGUUCCUUCCCUCUAAUAAGAAAGUUGAAAAAGUCUAGGCCUGCUUCCAGGCAGAAGGCUGCUCUUUAGGGUAACCCAAUCCUGUCCUACCCAGAACAAAAUCUCCUGGAUCUCUCCCACCCAGUCCAUUAGCUAGCAUGGCCUCUGCCAAAAGCAUUGCCAACAUCCCAGCGAGCUUAUAGUUUGACCUUGAAAACUAAGGUCAAACUCCUGCAUUAGUCAGCAACUAUAGUUUGCCAUAUUUGCAGCCAGUUGAAGUAACUGGGUUUUCGGGAAUGUUCUCCACUAGAGUAAGGCACUUUGUUUUUUCAGUGUGUUUUUUUUUUUUUUUUUUUUAAAGGGGGAGAAAUGGAGACCCAGCAUUUCUCUUUCUCCGACUGACUGCUUAGUAGAAACAAGAUGACGCAUGAGGCCCCUCAAGACAUCUGGGGAUGAGGGUGAUGAGUGGUCAGACUCAUCCCCACCAGUCAUCCCAAAUUUUCUGCCAUGUUCUGCGUUCCUGUGUUUAAAUGGACAAGUUACUCUUCCCAGGAGAGAGAGGGCAUUGGUGAGCAUCUCCUGGAGAAGCUGCCCAGUUCACAGCACCAGCUCCUUCUUGGGACCCCUCCUGACCCAGAGGGGUGCUCGAGGAAGCUAUGUCUUACCACCCUUGGCUGCGAAGUGGACACCCAGCUCUGGAACAAUAGAGUGUCUCUUCAGAACAUUAAAUCACUGGAGAAUUGUACAGACUAGGAUUUGUUAGAGUUAAAUCUCUUUAAUGGCAAUGUUCUACAGUGGUGGUCACUGAACAUUUUUUUUUCAUUAUGCAUGGGUUAAAAAAAAGUGGGACAUGCAUUCCCAAUAUAUAUUUAUUUAUUUUUGUGUUAUACAUAUCUACUAUUAUUACUAGCUAAUAUCUCAAAGCACACUACAUAGUUAGGGUUUUUUAAAAUGAAAAGUAAAUAUGACCCCAGUAGCAACAUACACUAAUGCCUAAUGCCUGGAUCUCAGUUUCUAACACCAUUCUCCAAUAAAAAGAAGCAGGACUCCUUGGAUAAAUGGUUG